AUCCUUUUGUAGUUAAUAAAUGUGAUGAUUGGGUUUUCACACUCAUGUGAGAUGUGCUUCCCUCAAACCUUGUUAUGAUGUCGUGAUA
ensembl:snoRNA